rnacentral:lncRNA from 1 species
GGGAGCUAUAAGGACCAUCAAGCCUGGAGCUGCCAUUAGCAACUUCAUCCUGCCUCCCGGGGAGAGCCUGCAUGAGAAUGCCAGGCAGAUGUUAAAAAUGGCAUUGCAGGAAAAUAUUUAAUGAUCUGGAGAGAUGUCCAUGAUACCUCCUUGCAUUCAAAAAAAACAAGCUACAAAACAGUACAUACCCUAUUACUUGCUAUAUCUCUGCUCAUAUCUAUUCAUGUGCAAAUAACAAAAUGGAUGAUAGAUGCCAAGAUAUUAACAGUGGUUCUCUCUGUACCCCAGGCCCUGCCUACCCAGUUGGUGCCGGUGGCCACAGCCAUCAUGCCCGGUGUGAGUAGUCACCUGACCCCAGCUGGCUCAUCUGAUCAUCGCACACAGGAAUGUGACACAAGAGAAGAAGGAACUGGGUGAGAAUGAACUGAAAGGGCAGCAGGGUGGAGCAGCCAGGCCGGGCUGUGGAAAGGCAGAGAAAGCCAGAGGAGAAAGCAGACGGAGAGGAACUUCGACGUCUGGGAUUUGCUUCAAAAUAACCCACUGGGGCGGGUGUCGAUGAAACAGAAUUGGAUGAGCUGAUCACUUUCGAAGCUGGGCAUUGGUACGUAGGUGAGCAUCAUACCGUUCCCUCUCCUCGUGAAUACGCUCGGAAGUUUUCAUAAUAAGACAUUUUGUUAAAGCGGCAAGUAGGAACCUGGCCAGAGCUGAGGAGUGAGCUGACAACAGAUGUGAAGGUGCAGGCAGUGAGCCCCGAGACACACACAUAAGGAGCCCGGAAGCCCUCCCCGUGGCCCCACCGCCAACCACGCUCCCUCCCCACCCCUCUCCCUGUUGACUCCCAUGUCGUCCAAGAACCCUCGGCUCUGAGUAAUAAAUGUGCCUCUCGGCGGGACAUGUGUUUCC